CGCAAGGUGGAGCAAAUGGUAGCUCGUCGGGCUCAUAACCCGAAGGUUGUAGGUUCGAGUCCUGCCCUUGCUACAA
rnacentral:tRNA from 1 species